rnacentral:rRNA from 1 species
CCUACGGGAGGCAGCAGUGAGGAAUAUUGGUCAAUGGGCGUAAGCCUGAACCAGCCAAGUCGCGUGAAGGAUGACGGUUCUAUGGAUCGUAAACCUCUUUUAUAAGGGAAUAAAGUGCGGGACGUGUCCCUUUUUGUAUGUACCUUAUGAAUAAGGAUCGGCUAACUCCGUGCCAGCAGCCGCGGUAAUACGGAGGAUCCGAGCGUUAUCCGGAUUUAUUGGGUUUAAAGGGUGCGUAGACGGGUUUUUAAGUCAGGUGUGAAAGUCUGUGGCUCAACCAUAGAAUUGCCGUUGAAACUGGGAGUCUUGAGUAUAGUUGAGGAAGGCGGAAUGCGUGGUGUAGCGGUGAAAUGCUUAGAUAUCACGAAGAACCCCGAUUGCGAAGGCAGCUUACCAAGCCAUGACUGACGCUGAUGCACGAAAGCGUGGGGAUCAAACAGGAUUAGAUACCCUGGUAGUC